rnacentral:rRNA from 1 species
AUACGGAGGAUCCAAGCGUUAUCCGGAUUUAUUGGGUUUAAAGGGUGCGCAGGCGGCCAUUUAAGUCAGCGGUUAAAUCGUGGGGCUCAACCCCAUUCUGCCGUUGAUACUGGGUGGCUUGAUUGCGGUCGAGGUUGGCGGAAUUCGUUGUGUAGCGGUGAAAUGCAUAGAUAUGACGAAGAACACCGAUUGCGUAGGCAGCUGACCAGACCGCAAAUGACGCUCAUGCACGAAAGUGCGGGGAUCGAACAGGAUUAGAUACCCUGGUAGUCCGCACAGUAAACGAUGAAUACUUGUUUUCGGCGAUAUAAUGUCGGAGGCAAAGCGAAAGCGAUAAGUAUUCCACCUGGGGAGUACGCCGGCAACGGUGAAACUCAAAGGAAUUGACGGGG